UACGUAGGGGGCAAGCGUUGUCCGGAUUUAUUGGGCGUAAAGAGCGUGUAGGCGGCCAGGGAGGUCCGUUGUGAAAACUCGAGGCUCAACCUCGAGACGCCGAUGGAAACCCCCUGGCUAGAGUCCGGAAGAGGAGAGUGGAAUUCCUGGUGUAGCGGUGAAAUGCGUAGAGAUCCGGAGGAACACCAGUGGCGAAGGCGACACGCUGGGCCGUACCUGACACUGAUGCGCGACAGCAUGGGGAGCAAACAGG
rnacentral:rRNA from 1 species